AGAGUUUGAUCAUGGCUCAGGAUGAACGCUGGCGGCGUGCUUGACACAUGCAAGUCGAACGCAUCGACAAUGUCUGGAAUCACUGGAUGAACGGGAGGAUGAGAAAUCAUUCAAGCGGGAAGAAGGUGAGGAAGGGCGACGUUGGUGAGUGGCGGACGGGUGAGUAACACGUAGGUAAUCUGCCUCAAAGAGGGGGAUAACUGUUCGAAAGAGCAGCUAAUACCGCAUAAUAUCCAGGCUAAGCCUGGAAGAAAGGCGCGAGCCGCUUUGAGAUGAGCCUGCGGCCGAUUAGCUAGUUGGUGAGGUAAUGGCCCACCAAGGCGAGGAUCGGUAGCUGGUCUGAGAGGAUGAUCAGCCACACUGGGAUUGAGAACGGCCCAGACUCCUACGGGAGGCAGCAGUGAGGAAUAUUGCGCAAUGGGGGAAACCCUGACGCAGCGACGCCGCGUGAGCGAUGAAGGCCUUAGGGUUGUAAAGCUCUGUUUUAGGGGACGAAUGUCUAGAUCAGUAAUAUGGGUUUAGAAUGACGGUACCCUAAGAGGAAGCCCCGGCUAACUACGUGCCAGCAGCCGCGGUAAGACGUAGGGGGCGAGCGUUGUCCGGAAUUACUGGGCGUAAAGAGCACGUAGGCGGGAAUUUAAGUCAGAUGUGAAAGACCGGGGCUCAACCCCGGGGUUGCAUUUGAAACUGGAUUUCUUGAGGGCAGGAGAGGAAAGCAGAAUUCCUGGUGUAGCGGUGAAAUGCGUAGAAAUCAGGAGGAAUACCAGUGGCGAAAGCGGCUUUCUGGACUGUCCCUGACGCUGAGGUGCGAAAGCGUGGGUAGCAAACAGGAUUAGAUACCCUGGUAGUCCACGCCGUAAACGAUGGAUACUAGGUGUGGGAGGUAUCGACCCCUUCCGUGCCGCAGCUAACGCAAUAAGUAUCCCGCCUGGGGAGUACGAUCGCAAGGUUGAAACUCAAAGGAAUUGACGG
rnacentral:rRNA from 1 species